rnacentral:rRNA from 1 species
GGAGACACACGGCGGGUGCUAACGUCCGUCGUGAAGAGGGAAACAACCCAGACCGCCAGCUAAGGUCCCAAAGUCAUGGUUAAGUGGGAAACGAUGUGGGAAGGCCCAGACAGCCAGGAUGUUGGCUUAGAAGCAGCCAUCAUUUAAAGAAAGCGUAAUAGCUCACUGGUCGAGUCGGCCUGCGCGGAAGAUGUAACGGGGCUAAACCAUGCACCGAAGCUGCGGCAGCGACGCUGAUGCGUUGUUGGGUAGGGGAGCGUUCUGUAAGCCUGCGAAGGUGACCUGUGAGGGUUGCUGGAGGUAUCAGAAGUGCGAAUGCUGACAUAAGUAACGAUAAAGCGGGUGAAAAGCCCGCUCGCCGGAAGACCAAGGGUUCCUGUCCAACGUUAAUCGGGGCAGGGUGAGUCGACCCCUAAGGCGAGGCCGAAAGGCGUAGUCGAUGGGAAACGGGUUAAUAUUCCCGUACUUGGUGUUACUGCGAAGGGGGGACGGAGAAGGCUAUGUUGGCCGGGCGACGGUUGUCCCGGUUUAAGCGUGUAGGUGUGUGUUCCAGGUAAAUCCGGUUCACUUUAACACUGAGGCGUGACGACGAGGCACUACGGUGCUGAAGCAACAAAUGCCCUGCUUCCAGGAAAAGCCUCUAAGCAUCAGGUAACAUCAAAUCGUACCCCAAACCGACACAGGUGGUCAGGUAGAGAAUACCAAGGCGCUUGAGAGAACUCGGGUGAAGGAACUAGGCAAAAUGGUGCCGUAACUUCGGGAGAAGGCACGCUGACACGUAGGUGAAGUGAUUUACUCAUGGAGCUGAAGUCAGUCGAAGAUACCAGCUGGCUGCAACUGUUUAUUAAAAACACAGCACUGUGCAAACACGAAAGUGGACGUAUACGGUGUGACGCCUGCCCGGUGCCGGAAGGUUAAUUGAUGGGGUCAGCGUAAGCGAAGCUCCUGAUCGAAGCCCCGGUAAACGGCGGCCGUAACUAUAACGGUCCUAAGGUAGCGAAAUUCCUUGUCGGGUAAGUUCCGACCUGCACGAAUGGCGUAAUGAUGGCCAGGCUGUCUCCACCCGAGACUCAGUGAAAUUGAACUCGCUGUGAAGAUGCAGUGUACCCGCGGCAAGACGGAAAGACCCCGUGAACCUUUACUAUAGCUUGACACUGAACAUUGAGCCUUGAUGUGUAGGAU